rnacentral:hammerhead_ribozyme from 1 species
AUCCAGUUGAUGUGUCCCAAAUAGGACGAAAUGCGCUUUGUCCUGGAU